GAUGAACGCUGGCGGCGUGCCUAACACAUGCAAGUCGAACGAGAUGCGUAUUGGAAAGCUUCGGCCGGAAGAUACGUUAUCUAGUGGCGGACGGGUGAGUAACACGUGGGUAACCUGCCUUAUGGAGGGGGAUAACAGAGAGAAAUCACUGCUAAUACCGCAUAAGCACACAGUACCGCAUGGUACAGGGUGAAAAGAUUUAUCGCCAUAAGAUGGACCCGCGUCUGAUUAGCCAGUUGGCAGGGUAAAAGCCUACCAAAGCAACGAUCAGUAGCCGAUCUGAGAGGAUGACCGGCCACAUUGGGACUGAGACACGGCCCAAACUCCUACGGGAGGCAGCAGUGGGGAAUAUUGCACAAUGGGGGAAACCCUGAUGCAGCGACGCCGCGUGAGUGAAGAAGUAUUUCGGUAUGUAAAGCUCUAUCAGCAGGGAAGAUA
rnacentral:rRNA from 1 species